ACUCAAAGGAAUAGACGGGGGCCCGCACAAGCGGUGGAGUAUGUGGUUUAAUUCGAAGCAACGCGCAGAACCUUACCUGGUCUUGACAUCCCGUGACCGCGGCAGAGAUGUCGUUUUCCCUUCGGGGACACGGAGACAGGUGCUGCAUGGCUGUCGUCAGCUCGUGUUGUGAAAUGUUCGGUUAAGUCCGGCAACGAGCGCAACCCCUGUCCUUAGUUACCAUCAUUAAGUUGGGGACUCUAGGGAGACUGCCGAUGUUAAAUCGGAGGAAGGCGGGGAUGACGUCAAGUCCUCAUGGCCCUUACGACCAGGGCUACACACGUACUACAAUGGCAGAAACAAAGGGUUGCAGAGCCGUAAGGUGAAGCUAAUCCCAAAAACACUGUCUCAGUCCGGAUUGUGGUCUGCAACUCGACCACAUGAAGUUGGAAUCGCUAGUAAUCGCAGAUCAGCACGCUGCGGUGAAUACGUUCCCGGGCCUUGUACACACCGCCCGU
rnacentral:rRNA from 1 species